GAACUCUUUCGUUCUUUACUCAAUCACUGGCAAGAUGGUGAGGGUAGCGGCGUUGGAAAUAUUGGUGCUCUUGGCUUCGUCGUACGCGUUACCGGCACCCAAGGCUGAUCCAGGCUGCUGGUGCCCCCGUGUCAAAUGUGAAACCUGCUGGAACCCUAGCCCGCCUUGCCCCCGUGUGGACCCACUGCCCGCACCCUGCCCUUGCCCAAACCCCAUCAUUGAACCGAUUUGCCCGCCAUGCCCUCGUCCGUGCCCGUAUGUUGAACCGAUAAACCCCCAACCCUGUCCAUGUCCCUGUCCCUGCCCGGAUGUUGAACCGUUUAACCCGCCAUGCCCCCGCCCUUACCCGUAUGUUGAACCGAUUAACCCGCCAUGCCCUCGCCCUUAUCCGUAUGUUGAACCGUUUAACCCGCAAUUCCCACGACCCUCUCCGUAUGUGGAACCGCUUUACCCAUAUCCACAACCCUGUCCUGGUCCAAUUUGCCCACGUCCGUGCCCGCCUUACCCAUACCCACAACCGUGUCCUGAACCAAUUUUCCCGCGUCCGUGCCCGCCUUACCCAUACCCACAACCGUGUCCUGAGCCAAUUUGCCCACGUCCGUGCCCACCACCUUACUCACAGUACAGAUUUAGCCCGUGCCCACAACCAUGCCCUCGCCCCUUCCCGUAUGUGGGACCGAUUAGCCCACCAUGCCCUCGUCCUGAACCGAUUUGCCCGUGCCCCUCUCCUUGCCCACCACGCCCCAUAUGGCCAACCUGCGGCCUACGGCUUGGUUGCUCAUGUUCAUAAUUUCAAAAGUUUCAGUAACUUUUUCUAAGCGAGUUGUUCAAAGUCGAUUCCUGCUUAAGUACACUAUGAUAUACUUUCAAAAAAUAUACCUAGCUAAAUUACAAAUGCAGAAAUAAAUUCACCUGCUCGGUGUUCUUCAAAUGUUAAAUAAGAGCCAGGAAAAGGUGCGAAAUCUUUUCUUGAAGAAAUACCAGGAAGAAAAUGUACACAAACAAAGAAAAGCCGAUCGGGAAAACACUCGCUCAGAAGCGCUCUCUUCUUGAAUUUUCUAACACUACGGUCGCAGUCUACAAUGAGAUGCCAAAACAAGCUUAUGAACAUAUUUACCUAUAAAAUUCUAUAUUAUUUGGAAAUUAUAUGAUUGGUUUCAAAAUUCAUUAUUCAUAAAUACAUUAUCGAUAUUUAAAAAAAGAAAUUUAAUACAUUGGUUGUUGAGAGAUU